rnacentral:misc_RNA from 1 species
GAUAAGUUGUUAGAAGAGAAAAUAUAUUCAAAUCUCAAAGAUGUGGGAGAAGGUUUAGGAAGAAUAAAGAAAUUAUAUGAUUUAAUGCAGAUGUAAGUAGUUGAGAUGGAUUAAGUUAGAGAAUUGGAGGGAAAUUAGUUAGAUGAGAGUUGCUGGACUACUUGAGGUUAAGGGAUGGCAAUUGGCGGGAACAGUUAAUUAGAGGGGGUGGAGUAUAAAUAACAGAAUUGUAA